GACGAACGCUGGCGGCGUGCUUAACACAUGCAAGUCGAACGAUGACGACCGAGCUUGCUCGGUCUGAUUAGUGGCGAACGGGUGAGUAACACGUGAGCAACCUGCCCUUCACUCUGGGAUAACCUCGGGAAAUCGGGGCUAAUACCGGAUAUGAGCUCCUGUCGCAUGGCGGGUGUUGGAAAGUUUUUCGGUGAAGGAUGGGCUCGCGGCCUAUCAGUUUGUUGGUGAGGUAGUGGCUCACCAAGGCGAUGACGGGUAGCCGGCCUGAGAGGGCGACCGGCCACACUGGGACUGAGACACGGCCCAGACUCCUACGGGAGGCAGCAGUGGGGAAUAUUGCACAAUGGGCGAAAGCCUGAUGCAGCGACGCCGCGUGAGGGAUGACGGCCUUCGGGUUGUAAACCUCUUUCAGCAGGGAAGAAGCGAAAGUGACGGUACCUGCAGAAGAGGCGCCGGCUAACUACGUG
rnacentral:rRNA from 1 species